GAACCUAAAGCGGCUCAACCCAAAUCAAAUAUAAAAGGUUCAAGCCAACCCAAAACCAAAGUCCAUAAAUAAAACCCAAAGAUCCAAAGUCCACAAAUUAAACCCAAAACCCAAAGUCUACAAAUAAAAUCCAAAACCCAAAGUCCACAAAUAAAUCCAAACGACCGUAAAGUCGUUAAACUACACCCAAAUUCAAACGACCGUAAAGUCAUUAAACUAAAUCCAAAAUCAAACGACUGCAAAGUCGCUAAACUAAACAACCAAAUCCAAACGACCGUAAAGUCGUUAAACUAAACCCAAAUUCAAACGACCGCGAAGUCGUUAAACUAAACAAUCAAAUUCAAAUGACCAUCAAGUCGUUAAACUGAAUUCAAAUUCAAAUUACCAUCAAGUCGUUAAACUGAACAUUUGACCGUCAAGUCGUUAAACUGAAUUCAAAUUCAAAUUGACCCUCAAGCAGUUAAACUGAACAAAUGACCAUCAAGUCGUUAAACUGAAUAUUUGACCAUCAAGUCAUUAAACUGAAUAUUUGACUGUCAAGUCGUUAAACUGAAUACUUAACCAUCAAGUCGUUAAACUGAACAUCUGACCGUCAAGUCAUUAAAUUGAGUUCAAAUUCAAAU
rnacentral:lncRNA from 1 species